ACCUGUAUCUGCUGCUGAGC
rnacentral:snRNA from 1 species